AUCCCAUGGUGAGGACAAGUCAUGGUGUAAUCUUGGAGCCUCUCCCAUGCCUCUGGCAUCGGCUCAUUGUUGGCUUGCUGGAAACAUGAAAUUCUCCAACAAAGGGU
rfam:Oryza barthii chromosome 9, whole genome shotgun sequence.